AGCGUGAAGUUGCAGUGAUACGCGGAAUCAUAAUCCGCGUGUCGGGGGUUCGAGUCCCUCCUCCGCUA
rnacentral:tRNA from 1 species